GACGAACGCUGGCGGCGUGCUUAACACAUGCAAGUCGAACGGAAAGGCCCUGCUUUUGUGGGGUUCUCGAGUGGCGAACGGGUGAGUAACACGUGAGUAACCUGCCCUUUACUUUGGGAUAACUUCAGGAAACUGGUGCUAAUACCGGAUAGGAGCUCCUGCUGCAUGUUGGGGGUUGGAAAGUUUCGGCGGUUGGGGAUGGACUCGCGGCUUAUCAGCUUGUUGGUGGGGUAGUGGCUUACCAAGGCUUUGACGGGUAGCCGGCCUGAGAGGGUGACCGGCCACAUUGGGACUGAGAUACGGCCCAGACUCCUACGGGAGGCAGCAGUGGGGAAUAUUGCACAAUAGGCGGAAGCCUGAUGCAGCAACGCCGCGUGCGGGAUGACGGCCUUCGGGUUGUAAACCGCUUUCGCCUGUGACGAAGCGUGAGUGACGGUAAUGGGUAAAGAAGCACCGGCUAACUACGUG
rnacentral:rRNA from 1 species